GCAAGUCGAACGGGAGUCCGUGACGUAGCAAUACUGAUCGGUGAGAGUGGCGGAAGGGCGAGGAACACGUGAGCAACCUGUCCUUGAGGUGGGGAAACCGGUUGGAAACGACGGCUAAUACCGAAUGUGGCGCCGGGAGGCAUCCUCCGAGCGCUAAAGGGGGCCGCAAGGCUCUCCCUCUUCGAGGGCUCGCGCACCAUCAGCUUGUUGGCGGGGUAACGGCCCACCAAGGCUUACGGUUAGCUGGUCUGAGAGGAUGGCCAGCCGCACUGGGACUGAGAUACUGCCCAGACUCCUACGGGAGGCUGCAGUCGAGGAUCAUUCGCAAUGGGGGAAACCCUGACGAUGCGACGCUGCGUGGAGGACGACGGCCUUCGGGUUGUAAACUCCUGUCAUCGGGGAAAAGGCGAGGGAGCCCAACACGUUCCUUAGUUGAUGGUACCCGAAGAGGAAGCGACGGCUAACUCUGUGCCAGCAGCCGC
rnacentral:rRNA from 1 species